GUCUGCGGUCAUGCCACCCCAAACAAGCUUGAAGUCUGAUCUCGGAAGCUAAGCAGGGUCAGGCCUGGUUAGUAUUUGGAUGGGAGACUACCUAGGAAGACCAGGUGCUACAGGAA
rnacentral:rRNA from 1 species